CCCCCCCAAUUCCCUUCUUUCCCGAUUCCACUCUCUUUCUCAGCCAUUCUCAGCCCGUACUUCUAUUUCUCUCCCCCGAUUCCCUUUUCUUUCCCAAUUCCCUUUUCUUUCUCAGCCUUUCUCAGACUAAGCCAUUUGCCUAAAUCAUAGUUCCCCCGAAACCCUCAUUUUCCCCCAAAUCAUAGUUCCCUUAAAACCCCAAAAUUUCUCUAAAUCAAACCCAUUUGCUGUCUCCCUCUCUCUUUUCGAUCGACAGGUAUUAUAAUUUUCUAAUCAAACCCAAAGCUCCUUCUUUCAUUUUGAUUUCAUUGCAGCAAGCAAGCCGUUUAUUUUUUAUUUCAUUUCGACUUCGAUUUCACUUCUGUUUUAUUUUUGCAACAAGCAGAAAGAUUAAGGGAUUUCAUUUUGAAAUCAAACCCGAUUGAAGGCUACCUUUGGCGAGUCCAUCAAAUCAAGGUACUCUUAUUUACUUGUUCUUUUGAAUCCUAGAAUUUAGCAUGCUGACAUUUAUAUUUUUUUUUCUUUUGUGUUCUUUAGUAUAUGCCAUCUAUUGGGAAUUUUAUUGUUGUUCUCUUUCCCUCUGCGUAUGUAGUUAGUUUCCUAUUAUGGGAAUUUAUUUUGUUGGUUUUGAUUUCUGCGUUUGAUUUUGGCUUUUUGGUUUUUUGAGUCGGAAGAUUGAUGGCCUUUUAUGGGCUAGUUUGAUUUAUAUUGGCAUUUGAUUAUACAUGAUUGGAAAAUGGUUUAAUAUGUAUAGAUUCUCCAAGACUAGAAACUUUAUCCUUGAUGUUUCAAGUUACUGAAUGAUGAACUUGGCUAUCUUGAAACUACAACCUACACAUGAGUGACCUUCGAUACCGUAAACAUGUUUUCGGUUAUCAGUUCAGUGUCUUCUCAUGUGAUCAUUGGUAGAAGCAAUUCCUUGUAGGAUUAGAUAGUUUAGGUUAGAUAACCUGACCUAUAUUGAAUUGCUUGUUCUAUUUAUUGUGUUUUGGUUUCAAUGGUCAAUAUUCUGGGCUUAUUAAACUCUAAAAAUGCAUGUCACCAGUCAUCCUCAUGAAAACAUGCCUCAAAAACACUCUUUGCUUCUGCUGUUGUGCUUGUGCUGCCUUACACUCAAAUAUUUAUGUUACCAAUCUUAGCUGGUCCAGUCACCUUUUCUUCCAUGAUCUUCUGCAUAUUGUGUAACGUUAAUACAUCCUUCCUUAUCCUGCAUUGCUUUUACACUGUUAAAUAGCGGGUAGUAGCUAUCCCUGAAGUUUUCUGGCGAACUUUAGAGUCAUAAAAACCCUGGCUAAAGACUUCCUGAUUCUGAAAUUUGCUGCCUUGCGUUGGAGGGCACUUGUUGAUAUAAUUAAUAAUUACGACCUUUUUUAGGUAAAAUAAUGUGAAUUUGCAUUUAAUUAAAUUGUUUAUUUACCAUAGAAUCUUUUUUUCGCAAGCCCCAUGAUAUAUAUUUUCAUUUCUCAUUAUUUUCUUCUAAGAUCUUUUUAUCAUAAUACUAAAUCUACAGUUAAUGGCUCCCUACCAUCUUAAAAGUUGAAUUAUAGUCUAAAUCACCAUUUUUUCCCUUUAAUUUCUUCGGUUAAUAAUUAGUACGGUAAACGUGGACCAAUUGCCAUCUUUAAAAUUAGUUGAAAUGACUCUUGAAACCCACAAAAAAGCUAGUACACUUCUCAAAUUUUUAUUUUUAUUUUGGUGGAAAACAUUUCUCAAAAUUUUAACCACGGUGUGACAAGAGAUAUGUAUUUCUUCUUAACUUGGCGAGCUAUACAGACUUCGCCAAUACAAAUUAGUCACGCUUCAUAAUUGUGAAUCGGUAAGCAACUCACCAUUUUUCUAUAUAAAAAAACAUUUGGGCAAAUCAAAUUUAUUAUACAUUUUCAUGACAAGCCUCGCCAUCUGUUAUCAAUUUUAUUAUGUGCAUGCCUCGCCAUUUUCUUUUUACUAUGGUAUAUAUCAUUAAAGCUUGGCAGUAUACAUACUAUUGGUGCUUAUAAUUUGCUCAUAUCGUUGGCUGUCAUUAGUGAUACCGUAACUGCAUAUUUGUUUUAUUUUCUCCUUAAUCCUCAAGUCAUGCUCUAAGAAAUACACUCAAUUGAAGUUUGGAGCAACUCUAUCCUCUUUUAACUCUAUGAUCUUAUGAAUGUGCAGAGCAUGUUUGUAAUGUCUCUGUCAUAGUGGCUUCAUCAUAUGAUAUCAAUUACUAUGUUACACAUUGAUGGUUAGAAAGCUGUAAUUAAUUAUUUUUUAUUCAAUUUGAUGGCUCGGAAUAAAUUGUUUGUGGUGACGCAUGCAUAUUCACGUAACAGAUGAUGUGAUUGUUAUACAUAGCUACUACAUGAGUUGAGACCUGAUGAGAGUAAGUUGGAGAAUAGCCUGUGUUAUCCAAAAAUUAGUAUUUUGUUCUAACAAUCACUCUUUUGCAUGCUAACUCAGCAUAUUACAGUGACAUCUGUGUCGGAUCAAUUGCUUGCCAGCUGGAAAAGAAGGAAGGUGGGGCUAUCCAUUUGUACAUCAUGACAUUGGGGUUAUCCAUUUGCCAGCAUAUUACCCUAGACUUCUAUGAUGAGUUAAAUGGAUUUAACUCAAUUGAAUAAUGAUUAAUUCACUUGUUUUAAGUGUUUUUUUUUCAUUUUAUAUUUUUUAUAUAAAAAAUAUAUAUACUUAAAUCACAAAAUGAUAACUAAACUAUACUUAUUUUCCCAAAUUGAUAUUUAAACUUUUUUGUUGUCAUAAGUGGUACUUAAACUAUACCACUUACCCAUUUUAUCUCUGUUGUUAAAGAAAUUCCCUUAACCAAUCAUUUUGUGGCACGAUAUAAUUUUUAACUAAAUUAUCCAAAAAAAAGAUUAAAUAUUAUUUCCUUUAUAAACAUAUUUAUCUUUUUUUGUUCUUCACCUAAAAGUUCUAGUGACAAAAAAUUCAAGAACUAAUCGAGAAACACAUUUGAACCUAGUUUUCGACAAUAAAGCUUAGAUUGCGAUGAGUUUUUUUUUCUUUUUAAUUUUUUAAUCUAUUCUACCGGACACAUCGCAAUUCCAAGUAUCUAUGUUAGUGAUUUAGUAUCUCUUCUUAAAUUUGAAUCUCAAUGAUAAUUAAACUGGAGGAUGCCAUUACUGUAGUGAGGAUCCUUUAAAUAUUUACCUUUUUUUAAUAAAUUUUGAACUAGAGUGAACUGGCAAAAGUGUUGUUAAGAAGCUGAGGGUGUUACCGUAGCUCAACCAAUUUAAUAAUUUAGGUUGAUGCUAUAAUGUUAUUGAAAGGCAUAUUUGAGUCAGAUUAUUUUUUUAUUUUAUGGCUGUUUAUUGUUUGCAGGUGUAAUUUAAUUUGCUCGAAUUGACUCUUCAAUCCAAUUUAUAAUUUUUAAGAGGUAUGUAUAUUUUAUUUGCUAAAUCUUUAUUUCUAGGAGAUUAUAUUUGGUAUGUAUUCCAUGAGCUAAUUACAAGGUAAUUACAAUUUCAAAUAGGUAUGUAUAUUUAAUUUGUUAAAUUUGUUUUUAACUUGUUUUUUAAUGGAUCAUUAAUGGAUCAUGUUUUUAACUUAUUUCAAGUCUGUCCUUUGAUUAUUUUUUUUAAUUUGCUUAUGCUGUUUAUCCUUAGAGACUUGUUAUGUUGUCUUUAAUUUUUUUAAUUUGCUUAUUCUGCUUAUCCUUUGGAUCUCUUUGCUACUAGUUCCAAUGCGUAUGUUCUUCUCAUUGCUACUGGAAACCUUUGCGUAUGUUCUUAAGUAUGAAUAAGUAUGAAUUAAUUUUAUUACCAUGUAGCUUGCUUGUCCAUUAAAAUUACAACAAUAGCUGACCUUCUCUCCAACCUUUUUUUAAAUAUUUUAAAGAUUCAAAGUAUAUAGGCUGGAAACCUGACGGGUUGCCUUAUAUCGAGCUGUAAGAUAUAAUGGAUCCUCCCUAGGUGUAACAACGCCACGUAUGAUGAAUCUUAAAAAAUUCAAAAAGACUUGAAAAAAGUUUUAUCGAGCUCAUUUACUAUUGAAUAUUUAUUACCAUGUAGCUUGCUUGUCCAUUAAAAUUACAACAAUAGCUGACCUUCUCUCCAACCUUUUUUUAAAUAUUUUAAAGAUUCAAAGUAUAUAGGCUGGAAACCUGACGGGUUGCCUUAUAUCGAGCUGUAAGAUAUAAUGGAUCCUCCCUAGGUGUAACAACGCCACGUAUGAUGAAUCUUAAAAAAUUCAAAAAGACUUGAAAAAAGUUCUAUCGAGCUCAUUUACUAUUGAAUAUUUAUUACCAUGUAGCUUUCUUGUCCAUUAAAAUUACAACAAUAGCUGACCUUCUCUCCAACCUUUUUUUAAAUAUUUUAAAGAUUCAAAGUAUAUAGGCUGGAAACCUGACGAGUUGCCUUAUAUCGAGCUGUAAGAUAUAAUGGAUCUUCCCUAGGUGUAACAACGCCACGUAUGAUGAAUCUUAAAAAAUAAUUUACAUAAUUCACAUAACUUACAUAAUUUACAUAACUCACAUAACGUACAUAACAACUUACGGAACUUAACUAAUACAUGUAGUGCAAUCUAAUAGUUUCCUUAAAAGUAUAUAGUUUAAAGUUUAAAUUUCAUAACUUACAUAAUCUACAUAACUUACAUAAAACAUAAAAAUAUAUCAUAUCAAGACUUACAUAAUAAACAACUUACCUAUGUAAUUUAUUGUCAACUUUAGAAUUCAAGAACUACGAAAUGGAUAGGAGUUGGAUGAAAUUGUCAAGGGUAAGCAACGCCUAUCGAAAUGGAGUACAAACUUUUCUGAAUUUUGCAUUUCAAAAUGCAAGACAAGAGAAUAUGAUUCUUUGCCCGUGUAAGAAGUGUGGCAACAUCAAUUGGCAUACUCGUGAAGUUGUCUACGAACAUCUAAUUGUUGAUGGCUUUAUUCGGGGGUAUAAAAUAUGGAUUUUCCAUGGAGAGUGUACAGCUAGUGGAACUUCUUCAAUGAUUAAUCCGAAUUAUCCUGAUACUGAUUACCAUCAGUAUGUCAGACAAGAUGACAUGGAAGGUUUGUUGCGGGAUGCAUUUAAUAUGCACAGUCAUGGUGAGCAAUCGUUUCCACCUGACUUUAUUGCAUCCGAUGAUUGUAAUAUUGGUGGAAAUGUUUUUGGCGAAAUGGGAACAAGUGCACCUUAUGAGGAGCCAAAUGAAGAAGCGGCGAAGUUCUACAAUUUACUUAAUGAAAUGAACGAAGAACUUUACGAGGGAUCAAAAUAUUCGAAAUUGUCCUUUUGCAUUCGUUUAUUUCACUUAAAAUGUUUGGGAGGGUGGACUGAAAAUUCUUUUACAAUGCUGCUAGAGUUUCUGAGAGAGAUGUUUCCUUUUGCAAAAAUCCCCCAAUCUUUUCAAGAUAUGAAGAGACUAAUAAAAGAUUUGGGCCUUGGGUACGAUAAAAUUCAUAGUUGCCCAAAUGACUGCAUGUUGUACUGGGGUGAUCAGAAGAACCAACAGUGUUGUAAUGUUUGUGGCAAGUCACGUUGGAUGAAUGGGAAUACAGAAGAUGUGAAUGCGGAUGAAGGUGGGGCAGAGUUAAAAAAGAAGCCAGUCAAGGUUUUGCGAUACUUUCCCCUAAUACCAAGACUUCAAAGGCUUUUCAUGUCAUCAAAGACGGCCGAAUCUAUGAGGUGGCAUAAUGAUCAACGGACCGAUGAUGGAUUAUUAAGACAUCCUGCGGAUUCUUUAGCUUGGAAAUAAUUUGACAUGAAAUUUUCAAGCUUUGCAAGCGAUCCUCGAAAUGUGAGGCUUAGGCUAGCAGCUGACGACUUUAAUCCAUUUAAAAUCAUGAGUACUUCGUACAACACUUGGCCUGUGGUGCUUGUUCCUUACAAUUUGCCUCCAUGGAUUUGCAUGAAGCAAUCUUCGUUUAUUUUAUCAAUGAUUAUUCCUGGAGAGAAAGGCCCCGGAAAUGAUAUUGACAUCUAUUUGCAGCCACUUAUUGAAGAGUUAAAACAAUUAUGGUCGGGUGUUGAGACAUAUAAUGUAUUAAGAAAAGAGAACUUUUAUUUACGUGCAGCUUUAUUGUGGACAAUUAAUGAUUUUCCGGCUUAUGCUAAUUUAUCGAGUUGGAGUACUAAAGAACGUUAUGCUUGUCCUUGUUGUGCUGCGCAAACUUGUUCGAAGUGGUUGUACAAUGGGAAGAAGUUCUCUUACAUGGGCCAUCGUCGGUGGUUAGAUAGAAAUCAUAAAUUUAGAUUUCAGAGGACUUUAUUUGACGGUACAGAAGAGUACAGAGGAGCUCUUCAGCAGACCGUUGGAUCUGAAAUCUUGUUUAUGUUAAAAGAUAUCAACUUCAGUUAUGGGAAGAUGAAUCAACCACCUAACACGCAAUCAAAGAGAAGAUCGAUGGAUGAAUUCGAUGAUGAAUUUGACGAAGAGGAUGAUCCUAAUGAGGCAGACUUGUGGUAAAAAAGAAGUAUUUUUUUUGAGUUGCCUUAUUGGGAGCAUAAUAUUUUACGCCACAAUCUUGAUGUCAUGCAUAUUGAGAAGAAUGUCUGCGAGAACAUAAUUGGGACAAUUUUGAAUGUCGAUGGAAAAUCAAAAGACAAUCUUCAGAGUCGACUUGAUUUAGUUGACAUGAGAAUUCAGCGUGAUCUUCAUCCUCAAGUACUUCCGAAUGGGAAAUAUCGAUUGCCACCUUAUAUUUUUUCAAUGUCAAAGGAAGAGAAAGAGGUGUUUUGUACGGUGUUGAAGGAUAUAAAGGUUCCAGAUGCGUAUGCGUCAAAUAUAUCUUGAUGUGUGAGUCUUAAAGAUCGAAGAUUAUAUUCAUUAAAAUCACAUGAUUACCACAUCUUGAUGCAAGAUUUACUCCCAGUUGCUUUACGGUGCUGCAUGUCAAAAAAUGUGGCGUCCUGUAUAAUUGAACUAUCCAAUAUAAUGAAAGCUAUUUGUGGCAAAGUUUUGGAUGUUGAAGAACUUAAGAAAGUACAGGAUCGAGCUGCUUUGACUUUAUGCAAUUUGGAGAAGAUAUUUCCACCUUCCUUCUUUAUUAUUAUGGUGCACUUGGUAAUUCAUCUCCCUCACGAAGCAAUACUUGGUGGACCGGUUUUUUAUCGAUGGAUGUAUCCAAUAGAAAGGUGCUAAUUUAUUUGUCAAGUAUUUAUUUAUUCGCGUCUAUACAUUUAGUUACAACUUUUGAUAAAUAUUGUAUAUCGUGUUUAGGUUCCUAAGCAAAUUGAAAGCUUAUUGUCGCAAUAAGCGUUAUCCAAAAGGAUCAAUUGCUGAAGGCUACUUGGAAGAGGAGUGCAUGACAUUCUGUUCUAGAUAUUUAGAAGAUGUUGAAACACGAUUGAAUAGACCAAAUAGAAAUACUGGGCUCAAUGAUCAUAACUUGGCCAAAACUUAUUUAUUCCAAAGUUAUGGAGAACCAAUUGGCAAAGUUGAAAUUGCAAAAUUAGAUGAUAUAUCGUGGAUACAAGCACAUCGAUAUGUACUUUUUCACCACGAUUUAGUUGAACCGUUACGCAAGUAAGUUCUAAAAUUUCCUCACAUAUUCGUAGUUUUGAUUUGUUUAUCUUCUAACCAAUUACACUUGUUUUUAAUAUAGUGAGUACAAACAAAUUUUGAAAUCUCGUGCACGCUCUCGAAGAUUGCAACAUCGAGAGAUUAAUAAGUUAUUCACAUAAUCUUUUCAUGAAUGGUUAAGUCAAACGGUGUGUAACUAAAGUUAAUAAGUUACAUAUAAUCCCGAAAUUUAGUUAAUUAUUCAAUUUACUUUCGAUUCAAUAGGUUUGGAGUGGAAAGGACGUCAAUGACGAAGUUAAAUGGCUUUCCCAAGGUCCGAACAGAAUAAUAAAAAGAUAUAGUGCCUUCCUCAUCAAUGGAUACAGAUUUCAUACAAAGUAUCGUGAGAGAAUGAGGAGAACUCAAAAUUGUGGAGUUGUUGUUAAUUCUUCAAUUACAAGUUAUGCUAGUGCUAGAGACAGUAAUCCGGUUGAGGGUAAUGUGGAGUAUUAUGGACUUCUUACCGACAUUAUUGAGUUGGAUUACUAUGGCAGAUGGAAAGUUGUCUUAUUUCGGUGUGAUUGGGCUGAUGUUAAUACUGCUCGAGGAAUUAAAGAAGAUCAAUUUGGUUUUACAAUGUUGAAUUUCUCUCGCUUGAUUCACACUGGACAACAAUUGAUGGACGAGCCAUAUGUAUUUUCCUCUCAAGUGAAACAAGUUUUUUAUUCUAAAGAUCCAACUGAUGAGGGUUGGUAUGUUGUACUCCGGAACACCCCUAGAGACUUGUUUGAAAUGGGUAAUGGAAGUAGAGAUGACAUCGUCGAAAGAUCAGAAACAUUACCUUUUCCAAAACAAAACUUAGAUGAAAAUAUCCCUAGUACUAAUACACAACAUCAAUGGGUUCGACAUGAUGUGGAUGAAGAUAUUUACGAAUAAUGAUGUAGUAAGAUUUUACAAUUUUUUAAUUAUAUGUAAUAUUAUAAUUUUAAUCUUUGUCAUGUUAUAUAAUUUAACUAUUUUAUAUGUACUACUAUUGUUGUAAUUUGUUACUAAAACUUUAACUAUUUUAUGUGUAUUGUAGGAAAAAUGCGUAGAAGAAGAUUAAGAGAUUUAAGUAUUGUCCAGAAUACUCCAAAUUCGGAAGAAGGAAAUAGUGAACAGCAGACAGUUGUUGGAUCUUCGAAUGUGCCGGAGACACUUGAUGAGCCUAAAGAAUUUC
rnacentral:lncRNA from 1 species